CAUCUGUUCCUCCAAAAUAAAAGCCUCAGUGGUUCCAAAAGGUCCAGUUUAUAAUCCAACAUUUCUUCCCGUUAAUCUCAGUUUUGCUCAAACUGAGCUGAUAAACAAACAAACAGCGACCUGAUUCCAGCCAAUCACAUCCAGCCUUUCUGCCUGCGUCACAAGCAGCCUCCCUGCUCUCCGUCCGAACCCGCAGCAGCAGAGCCGGACCUUCCCGGAGGUUCGGAGGCGCAGGAGGUGAAGAGCAGAGCGGAAGCUGUCAGCAGGCUGGAGCGACGCACGGAGCGCUGCUGCAGCAUCCUUUGUUUCCCGGAUCUGGAGUCCAGCAGCGGCUCCCUCUGACAAUCUGCAAACGGCGCAGAGAAACCUUAAUAAGCUCCAUCCAGCACCCAGGAAUGAAGAUGAUGGUUUGAAGGAGCCAAUAAGCUGAAGAGGAACGGCUGGCUGAGGGCAGCUGAUCUCCAUGGAGACGCAGUAGGGCGUGGACUUCCUUCAGCCUCUGCUGUCCCCUGGCUGAAUGGAAACCCUCAUCCACACCCUGUCUAGUCUCACGUUUCUAUCUUUCUGUUAUUCUGUCAGUUUUACAUCCUUGAGGAUGUUUAACCACCAGAGACAGUAGAGAGGUAGAGGCGUCCCCCCCAGUCAGGCCCACAGUUUGAUACCACAGUAGUCCCCCAUUCUCUUCUUCGUCUCUGUCCGUCCUCUUCUUCGUCUCUGUCCGU